GAUGAACGCUGGCGGCGUGCCUAAUACAUGCAAGUCGAGCGAACAGACGAGGAGCUUGCUCCUCUGACGUUAGCGGCGGACGGGUGAGUAACACGUGGAUAACCUACCUAUAAGACUGGGAUAACUUCGGGAAACCGGAGCUAAUACCGGAUCAUAUAUUGAACCGCAUGGUUCAAUAGUGAAUGACGGUUUUGCUGUCACUUAUAGAUGGAUCCGCGCCGCAUUAGCUAGUUGGUAAGGUAACGGCUUACCAAGGCGACGAUGCGUAGCCGACCUGAGAGGGUGAUCGGCCACACUGGAACUGAGACACGGUCCAGACUCCUACGGGAGGCAGCAGUAGGGAAUCUUCGGCAAUGGGCGAAAGCCUGACGGAGCAACGCCGCGUGAGUGAUGAAGGUCUUCGGGUCGUAAAGCUCUGUUAUUGGGGAAGAACAAAUGUGUAAGUAACUAUGCACGUCUUGACGGUACCUAAUCAGAAAGCCACGGCUAACUACGUG
rnacentral:rRNA from 1 species